rnacentral:rRNA from 1 species
GGGGAAUUUUGGACAAUGGGGGCAACCCUGAUCCAGCAACGCCGCGUGGGUGAAGAAGGCCUGCGGGUUGUAAAGCCCUUUCGGUGGGGAAGAAAAGCCUCGAGCUAACACCUCGGGGUCUUGACGUAACCCAUAGAAGAAGCACCGGCUAACUCUGUGCCAGCAGCCGCGGUAAUACAGAGGGCUCAAGCGUUGUUCGGAUUCAUUGGGCGUAAAGGGUGCGUAGGUGGCGGGGCAAGUCUGGUGUGAAAUCCCGGGGCUCAACCCCGGAACUGCACUGGAUACUGCUUUGCUAGAGCACUGGAGAGGGAACUGGAAUUUACGGUGUAGCAGUGAAAUGCGUAGAUAUCGUAAGGAAGACCAGUGGCGAAGGCGAGUUCCUGGACAGUUGCUGACACUGAGGCACGAAGGCUAGGGGAGCAAA